rnacentral:rRNA from 1 species
AACGAACGCUGGCGGCACGCCUAACACAUGCAAGUCGAACGCCUCGUAGCAAUACGGGGAGUGGCGGACGGGUGAGUAACGCGUGGGAACCUGCCCAGGGGUGCGGGACAACUUCGGGAAACCGGAGCUAAUACCGCAUGAUGCCGUGGCAACACGGCCAAAGAUUUAUCGCCUUUGGAGGGGCCCGCGUCGGAUUAGGUAGUUGGUGGGGUAACGGCCUACCAAGCCUUCGAUCCGUAGCUGGUCUGAGAGGAUGGCCAGCCACACUGGGACUGAGACACGGCCCAGACUCCUACGGGAGGCAGCAGUGGGGAAUCUUGGACAAUGGGGGCAACCCUGAUCCAGCGAUGCCGCGUGGGUGAUGAAGGCCUUCGGGUUGUAAAGCCCUUUCGGCGGGGACGAUAGUGACGGUACCCGCAGAAGAAGCCUCGGCUAACUCCGUGCCAGCCGCCGCAGUAAAAC